rnacentral:rRNA from 1 species
UAGGGAAUCUUCGGCAAUGGGGGCAACCCUGACCGAGCAACGCCGCGUGAGUGAAGAAGGUUUUCGGAUCGUAAAGCUCUGUUGUAAGAGAAGAACGUGUGUGAGAGUGGAAAGUUCACACAGUGACGGUAACUUACCAGAAAGGGACGGCUAACUACGUGCCAGCAGCCGCGGUAAUACGUAGGUCCCGAGCGUUGUCCGGAUUUAUUGGGCGUAAAGCGAGCGCAGGCGGUUUAAUAAGUCUGAAGUUAAAGGCAGUGGCUUAACCAUUGUUCGCUUUGGAAACUGUUAGGCUUGAGUGCAGAAGGGGAGAGUGGAAUUCCAUGUGUAGCGGUGAAAUGCGUAGAUAUAUGGAGGAACACCGGUGGCGAAAGCGGCUCUCUGGUCUGUAACUGACGCUGAGGCUCGAAAGCGUGGGGAGCAAACAGG